CUUAGGAUCUUGAUGUUUGAUCCCUGUCUUCGGACAUUUUCACAUCAGGACUAGACUAUGAUAUUUCUAUUCGUCUUAUCACGAGACGAUCCAGGACGCCGUCGGCGUAUCCCUUCUCACGGAAGCCAGUUUGUAAAAGGCAACUUUUACAUUCGAGGGGCUUGUAGCUCAGCUGGUUAGAACGCGCGCUUGAUAAGCGUGAGGUCGUAAGUUCAAAUCUUACCAGGCCCACCACUCAAUUUACGCGGCGUUUUAAUGGGGCUGUAGCUCAGCUGGGAGAGCGCGUGCUUUGCAAGCACGAUGUCGUCGGUUCGAUCCCGAUCAGCUCCACCAUCAACAAGCGUUUGAAUAUCGAGCCGACAAAAUAUAGUUUUCGCGCGAAGCGCGAAGCGGUUCGAUCCCGAUCAGCUCUACCAUUUAAAGGCGCAUUUAGCUCAUGGUUUCCGAGAGAAGAAAAAAGUUUCCGCACGCUUUAACGGGCGUUGUGGACGUUCUUGUACAUUGUGAAUAGGAUUUGAAUUGAUUGUACCUGUUGUUGUGAUGACAAUAAGGGCAAUCAAAAAAUGAAAGCGUUUUGUUUUACGCGCGAACUUUUGUACGUCGAGUACAAAAAGGAGCGGGAAAGCGUAGAACAAACAGUCAGAAGUUAAUUGCAGUCAGGUUCGGUGUUUUUUACCUAAGAGCACAACAAUUCCUCCGAAGGGAGUUGGAGCCAAUAUGUCAGCGCUGUAAUGCAAGAUGGGAUUUUGUAAAUAAAGGUGCAAAUCUGGAGAACAUCUGGCUUCUGAUAA
rnacentral:tRNA from 1 species